AUAUAUCUCUUCUGAGGUUUGUUGGAUCUUCUCAUAUUUGUUGAGAAAACAAAUCAAGGAUUCGCAAUUUUUAUGUUUCUUCAUUUGAUUUCAUGGAGUUUAAAUCAUGGGUUUGGUUUUAAUUUAAGUUUUAUGAUCUCAGUUUUGAGUUAGGUUAUUAUAUUUGUGUUUGUCUUAACAGUAUUUCAUCAUUCAGAUUUGAAAUUUGUGGGAUUUAUAAUGAUUUUGGUUCGUGAUUUUUUCAGAUAUUGAGUAGAUUAGUCGAAAGCUGAGAAGCAGGAACAAUUAGAGCUCUUGGAAUCGGCAGUAAAUGCUUCUAAUGACUCUUGGGUUUUGAGGGUUCUGGUGAUGAUGGUGUGGUGGUGCUGAUGAGAAAAAAGAGUAAUCUGUUUUAGUUGAAAGAUCUGAGUUUGGCCUCGUACUUUAAGGAUAUUGAGGUGUGGAAACAAAAUACAAUCUUGAACAGAAGACCAACAUAACUGCACAUUAUGUAAUGGUCAUCCUUGGAUUUCAGAACUACAAUAAUAUAACAGUACCUACUGAUAUUCUAAUAUUUAGGCUCAUGAAAUCCUGUAUGCGCUCAUCAUAUCUAUAUAAAGUUACAUUAAGAGUGAGUACUUUAAUAUUCUCGAAAUUUGCUUUAUUAUUGAUCAUGUCUCAUAAUUUGGUUUGUCCACUACCCUUGCUUUUCUGGCAUUGUCCAAGAAAUUGACUGUAGAUGAACUCUUUUAUCUGAAGGAGUAGUUUGCACUGUUAGAACAUAACUUUGGGGAAUAUCUGGACGGUAAGUUGAAGAAACAAAUAACAGAUAGAGCACUUAUUUGG